CCUACGGGUGGCAGCAGUGGGGAAUAUUGCACAAUGGGCGCAAGCCUGAUGCAGCCAUGCCGCGUGUGUGAAGAAGGCCUUCGGAUUGUAAAGCACUUUCAGCGGGGAGGAAGGCGGUGAGGUUAAUAACCUCAUCGAUUGACGAUACCCGCAGAAGAAGCACCGGCUAACUCCGUGCCAGCAGCCGCGGUAAUACGGAGGGUGCAAGCGUUAAUCGGAAUUACUGGGCGUAAAGCGCACGCAGGCGGUCUGUCAAGUCGGAUGUGAAAUCCCCGGGCUCAACCUGGGAACUGCAUUCGAAACUGGCAGGCUAGAGUCUUGUAGAGGGGGGUAGAAUUCCAGGUGUAGCGGUGAAAUGCGUAGAGAUCUGGAGGAAUACCGGUGGCGAAGGCGGCCCCCUGGACAAAGACUGACGCUCAGGUGCGAAAGCGUGGGGAGCAAACAGGAUUAGAUACCCCUGUAGUC
rnacentral:rRNA from 1 species